rnacentral:misc_RNA from 1 species
UUUCCGUAGGUGAACCUGCGGAAGGAUCAUUAUUGUAUAACCGAGGUGCGAGGGCUGUCGCUGACCCGAAAGGUCGUGCACGCCCGAGUGCCCUCACACACAUCCAUCUCACCCCUAUAUGCACCACCGCGUGGGUCCCCCUUUGGCUUGUUCGGAGGGGGGCUUACGUUUUCACACAAACUUUGUAUGCAGUGUAGAAUGUAUUUUUUGUUUUUGCGAUCACGCAAUCAAUACAACUUUCAACAACGGAUCUGUUGGCUCUCGCCUCGAUGAAGAACGCAGC